UACGGAGGGUGCAAGCGUUAUCCGGAUUCACUGGGUUUAAAGGGAGCGUAGGAGGGCAGGUAAGUCAGUGGUGAAAUCUUCGAGCUUAACUCGGAAACUGCCGUUGAUACUAUCUGUCUUGAAUACCGUGGAGAUGAGCGGAAUAUGUCAUGUAGCGGUGAAAUGCUUAGAUAUGACAUAGAACACCAAUUGCGAAGGCAGCUCGCUACACGAAUAUUGACUCUGAGGCACGAAAGCGUGGGGAUCAAACAGG
rnacentral:rRNA from 1 species